rnacentral:lncRNA from 1 species
GUCAGAAGAUGCCGCCAGCCCACGGGACAGACGCUCUGAUGUCUAUGCUGGGACCAGGUAGGUGAAACCCACCCUCCAGCUCUGGCCAGCACUGAGCAGGGGUGACAGCUGCCAGGCAGCGACUGUCAUUUUGGGUUGAAAGGCUGCCUUGGCAGAGCUCAGAUCAGAUCCUUCAGAACAAGGUCCCCUGUGUCCCCCGGAGUGACAUGGAAAGCUAUGGCCCACCAUCCUCCGGAGUUGAUUCUGCAGCCCAGCAUCCUGAGCAAACGUGCUCACUCAUUCUUUAAAGAUGUCCAAAGAGUUCUUUCUCCACUGUACCCUAACUCCCUCCUUCUAUACCUAAUUUUUUUUUUAAAAAAUUGGGGAUUGAAUUCAGGGACCUCAUACUGAAUUACACCCCUAGACUUUCUAUAUUUUUUAUUUUGAGAUAGGGUCUCUAUCAUUGAGUGGCCCAGUCUGGGCUCAAACUUUAAAUCUUCCUGCCUCAGCCUCUCAGAGUGCUGGGAUGACUGUCAUGCACCUCCACAACCCACUCUAAACCCCAUUUCUUCUGGUUCUGCCCUCACAUGACUCAGAGGGACUGGAGGCCCGCAUCUCCACAGUGACAUUUUCACCAGUCCACAGCACAAUAAAAAAUUAAAGACAGAGGAAUGCCUAUUUCUCAGUGUAAAGUCAAUAAUGGCUCCUUUCUUAGAAAUGACUGGCAGUAGCUUUUAUUUUUAGAGACAGGGUCUUGCUAUUUUUCCCAGGUUGGUCUCAAUAGAUUCUCCUGCCUCAGCCUCCCAGCAGUUGAGACUACAGGUGCAUGCCUUCAUACCCAGCAAGAAUGACUGUUUUCCACUCAGAUGAUGUUGUUUUUAUUUUGAAGGGGUUAAAAUUUAUUUUACAGAAGGGUGAUAAUAGACGGUAGGUGUGUCUUGAAUGUUCUUGGGAAACAUUAAAAGCAGCAACUCUUUCUGGGAACUUGGCUUUUAUUUUGUUUUGUUUUUCUGUCCAAUCUAGAAAUCCGGCACAGCUGUCCAGAGGGAAGUUGAGAGCCAACAUACACAGAGGUGGCCUGAGGUCCUCACCUGGCCUCAGCAAGGUCUCGGGCUGCCCUGGCACCCACCUCUGUGCCAUCUGUGCCAGAAUUUUACCUCCAGGGCCCGAUCCCCCAAGCUCAGUGCAGAAUAUCAGGGUGGGUGACAGGCCGGGCCCUGACCAGACAGCCGUGUUCGAAACCACUUCAGCCACUGACUUAGCAAUCCUUACACCUCAUUUUCCCCACCUGUAAAAUGGGACUAGUAAGACCCACUUUCUGUGAAGGAUUUAGCGGAGCUCUUGGAACUGUGCCCAGCACACAGACUUCAAUAAACGUCGGUUUUAUGACAAUCCGGAAGUUUCACCUGGGCAAAAUGCUGGGGAACUCAGGCUGUGGGACCGGUGGGAGGGCACCUCGCAGUGUCAGGUCUGAGAAGCAAACCCUUCAGCCCUCGCAUCACCACUGCCCCUUCCAGGCUACUGAAUCCCAACUCCUGGAACCCAUCUCACCACCUUCAGGGACUCCAGAGCCCUCUCUGAAGCCCCCACAAAUUCCUAAACCAGGCACACAGCCCAUUCCCCUGAGAUGCUUUGCUCCUAAAACCACCUAACCACCUGUGAAACCCUGAGGCUACUUCCUCGUUCCUUACACCCUGACCCUGGCAGGUGCUUCAGCCUGGUUCACUGCAGAGCUCCAGAUGCUGGGGGUGGGGGCGGGGAUGGGAAACAUCCAGCUAGGCCAUUACUGAGGACGGCCCUGUAUGCGCCAAAGCUAAGGAAACACUGGACUCCGCUGAAGGCUUGGGUUCAAAUCACGGCUGUGUGGGCUUUGGACAAAUUCCGUCAUCGCAGUCCGUUUCCUUCUCCCGCGCACGAACCUGGAAAGCGCAGCCGUCGGGGCUGACCGAGGGAACGUGCUGUUCCCGCGGGGCGCUGGGGACACUUGACGCGGCAGAAGGCCCAGCGAGGGGCGCCCGUGCCCUGCGGCGCAUCCCACCCUCUCCGACACCAUCCCCUCCCGGACCCGCUUACCCCGGCCCGGGAACCAGAGUCGGAGGCCUCCGGGUGGCUCUCACUCCGGCUAAGGCACUGAGACUGACGAGGAGUCUGCAGCCUGGGACUGAAGUUUCUCUGGACCUAGGAGGUUGGUCCUUGUCUCCUUGCUACCUUGUUUGCCCAGCACUUGAGCAAUACUCCUGAGCCCAGCGAGACCAGCGAAGGCUCCUCCUUGGAAGCCACCUCCAGGAGCUGGGCAGAGCAGGCUUGAGAGGAAGUUCAGCCCAAGCGGGAGCCAAGCCUGGGCCCAGCAGGGAGAGCUGCGGUGGGUACAGGACUGAGGAGGACACCACUGUGCGAAGACUGGCCUCCUCUCACCUGCCCCGUCCUGCACCCCCGGCCCGGAACUUUGUGCCUUCGCCCGCUGCACUCCUACCAGCACGGAAUUCCGAGCCACACCGAGCUCCUCUCAGCCGGCCCCACCUGCGAGUCACGUUCCUGCCUCGCCACGCAGUUAUCCCCUGGGCCUUUGUACCUGCUUUCCUGGCGCCGGGAAUGCCCUUCCCCCAUUGACCCAGCAAGGACCUUGUCACUUUCCAGGUGAGAGGCUUUUCUUGGUCUCGAUGUGCGCACAUUUUAUAGUAGUGCUUACAGUAAUGACUAAAAGCCAACAUUCUGCAGGCACACCACGUGCUGUUCCGACUGCUCUGUGUGUGUGUGUGUGUGUGUGUGUGUGUGUGCGCGCGCGUGUGCACCCAUUACAUUUUUGUCAGCUUAUUUAACUGUCAUAACAACCCUAAUGGGCACUAUUGUUAUCAUCUCCAUCUGACAGAGAGGAAAAUUGAUACACCGAGAGUGGGGUUACCAUUGACAUAGGGGGACAGGUCAAGUAAGCCGGGUUUCCGCACAACCAGCUCAGUGGAAAGGUCUGGGUAGCUAACCACUGCACUGCACGGCCUCUAGCUGUUAGGAGCUUUUACCAAUUUACAUACCUCUGAGAAAGCAGCAUCAGAUAAUGUCUGGUAACUGAGUGAAUUCAUAAAAUGUAAUAGAAUAAAGAAGUAGGGCUUAUCUUCGCUUGUGUAAGAUAUCUGCUAUGUCAACACUAUGUUUUUUUCCUAGAACAUAUAAUAUGUUAAAGAAAAUAAAAUUUGAGAUUAAAAUCCUAUGUAUCUUUUUGCUUUUUAUGUGUAGUGGUGGUGGUGGUAGGGUACUAGGGAUUGAACCCAGGACCUUUGCCCUGAGCUACAUCCCCAGGCCCCUUUCUUUUUCCCAGUACCAGGCACUGAACUCAGGACCUUACACUUUCGAGGCAGGUGCGGCGCCACUGGGCUAAAACCCCAGCCUCCGGGCCCUUUUUUAUUGUUUAUUUUGAGACAGGUCUUGCUAAGUUGCCCAGGCUGGACUUGAACUUUCCAUCCUCCUCCAGAUGUGCACCACCCUGCCUGGCUCCACCUGCUCUCUUUCCCCUGCCCACGUAUACCCAGUAAACUGAAACUGGUCUCUUGGCAGGAGAUUGGCUUUGCCCUGUGCCCACAGGGCCUGGCUGAGUGCUGCUGGGCGUGCACAUGGCCCAGGGCCAGUUCAAUGUGAGCGGAGCCAGGUGCUGAUUUUAGGGCUGGGUCCUGGGGGUAGCAUGCAGCCCUGGUGUUGCCAAGAUUGGGGAAUGCAUGACAGCAUAGGAACAGCCCCACGGUCUCUGGAGCCAGGCUGGGACAGAAUACAGAGUGGGCUUCUUGUGGUGAAGGGGCAGGUGGAGCAGGGACUGGCUCACAAAACAGAGCCUGGAGGCAACGUGAUGGCCACACACAUAGCCCUGGCUCCCCAGGAGGGAUCUAAAAAGCUUGAAGAUGGCCUGAGCCCAGGAGUUUAGAGCCAGCCUGGGCAACACAGUAAAAUC